ACCAUAUCAGGUUCUCACAUUCAUGACCACAUCUAACUCUACCUCCUAAAGGCCCCAAGUACCAUCACAAUAAGGGGUAGGGCUUCAGUAUAUUUUUAACAAGAGGCAUGUAUUUUGUACUCUGAAUUCCUUCAGGCCCUUUACAUUCUCUGUUUCUUUUUGCAUCACUUUACCCUCUGCCUUCUUGUUCUAGCCAUAUUUUCCUUUUGCUAGCCUUUUAUAUGUUUAAAGCCUUGAUGACAUUUUCAGUUUAUCAGUUCAAUCAAAUAAAUAAUCUAUCUAUUAAAAGACCACUUUACUUAAGAAAUCCCAGUACGAUCAUCAUAAGUAUUGAGUUUGGACUAUUAAGAAUUCAGAUCUGGUUUUAUGUCAGAAGAAAAAUUGGAUGACUUGACUGUCAUAUGACAA
rnacentral:lncRNA from 1 species